rnacentral:lncRNA from 13 species
GCUAUGGGUCAGUGAUGCAGAUGUACCCAGGAGGAGGCCCUGAGAAGGCGGGGGUAGAGAGCUUUGGCUUCCACGAUAUGCUCCAUGAGCUUCCCAUCUGUCAUGUCAACGCACUGCUGGCAGGGACACUGGACACGGAGGCUAAAGACAUAGACAUGCUGGACAGGCCAAUGGAGACAAGUCCAACCUGACCCAGAGAAAGCAGAAGGCAAUGGGGGCAGCCCAGACACAGAGGACCAGAGCAUGGAGACUAGUACCAGUACAGACCCUGCCGAGGACAAGGAGAGGGAGAAACGGAGAGAGAUCAACACAUAGUGAAGCAGCCCAGGAGAAGAUGGAGAAGAGGAAGAAACUGCUGCUGCAGGCGUGCCGGAGGGUAGGAACGCUGUCGGGUUUGUCGAGGGUUGGGGAAACUCGUGUUUCCAUGUAGUCUACAACCCUAGUAUGUCUCUACACAUGAGUUCCAAUACUUUCAACA